GCGGCGGUGGCGGAACGGCAUACGCGAUCGCCUCAAAAGCGAUUGCCCUCCGGGGCUUGUGGGUUCGAAUCCCACCCGCCGCA
rnacentral:tRNA from 1 species